rnacentral:rRNA from 1 species
CCCUUAGAUGUCCUGGGCCGCACGCGCGCUACACUGAUGCAUGCAACGAGUUUAUAACCUUGGCCUGAAAGGUCUGGGUAAUCUUUUGAACGUGCAUCGUGAUAGGGAUAGAUUAUUGCAAUUGUUAAUCUUGAACGAGGAAUUCCUAGUAAACGCGAGUCAUCAGCUCGCAUUGAUUACGUCCCUGCCCUUUGUACACACCGCCCGUCGCACCUACCGAUUGAAUGGUUCGGUGAAGAUCUCGGACUUCGAUAUUUAUACUUUAUUGAGUUUAUAUUGUGGGAAGUUAUCUAAACCUCAUCAUUUAGAGGAAGGUGAAGUCGUAACA